ACAAUUAUCAAUCGUUUCUUAUGGUAAAGAAAAACCAGCAGUAUUAGGUCACAACGAAGCAGCUUAUGCUAAAAACCGUCGUGCAGUAGUUACUUACGCUGGAUACUAAUCCCAUCUAAUGACGGCUGAAUCAUCAGCCGUUUUUUAUUU
rfam:Gilliamella apicola SCGC AB-598-P17 SCG598P17_12589, whole genome shotgun sequence.